GUACGCGUUACAUUUCAUUGCUUUCGCUUGAUUAGUUGGUUUAUAUCGAAAGUAAAGGUUUAAUAGUAUAGGUUUUAUUAAUCUAUAUUUAUUUUUGUGCUGCAGCUCAAGAUGCCUUUGACUCGUUCGCAAGCCGCCGGGGCAGCUGAGGCGGCGGAUGCAGAGGAAGUGGGGACUUCUGUUACUUCGGGAUCUAGUGGGAUCCAUGAGUUGCAGGAUCAGCUCGCGAAGCUGACAGGUUUGGUUGCUCAGCAGCCUGCGGCCGCGCGACAGCAGAUGGACGCUGCGCGUCGACAGGAGGAUAAGAUGAAGAGGUUAGAGGAUCUGUUACUGCGGCAGACGACCGACAGAGAGAUUCCAGAUUCUGUACUUCCAGAUUCUGUACCUAUAGCACCAGAGAGGGGCACCACUGCGAGAGCACCGUCACCGGUACC
rnacentral:lncRNA from 1 species